rnacentral:rRNA from 1 species
UACGUAGGGGGCAAGCGUUGUCCGGAUUUAUUGGGCGUAAAGAGCGUGUAGGCGGUUUGGUAGGUCCGUUGUGAAAACUCGAGGCUCAACCUCGAGACGCCGAUGGAAACCAUCAGACUAGAGUCCGGAAGAGGAGAGUGGAAUUCCUGGUGUAGCGGUGAAAUGCGCAGAUAUCAGGAAGAACACCCGUGGCUAAGGCGGCUCUCUAGUACGGUACUGACGCUGAGGCGCGAAAGCUAGGGGAGCAAACAGG